CAUUGUUAUCAGUAGGCAACAUAUGACAUGCGCUGUACGCCCAGCUAUGGUUACACCCCCCCUCCUCAACCUUCUGUUCUGAAGCUACUGCACAGGGGCUCUGAGUCAUCUGUCAAAAUGCAUGUGCUGCUUCUGAAAGAACCAAGAGAGGGAGGUUCUGGACCAGAUCCUUACAUCAAGGCGCUGGCAUCACAUGGACACAAAGCAACCUUAAUUCCUGUGCUGUCAUUUACAUUUGUAUCCUUGAACACAUUGUCAGACAAGCUGUUUCAGCCAGAACAACAUGGUGGGAUGGUUUUUACCAGUCCGAGGGCGGUGGAGGCAGUCAGGAUGUGUCUGGAAGAUGAUGAAAGAAGGGAAGAGUGGAACCGUGACAUGAAAGACAAAUGGAAUGCCAAGUCCAUCUAUGUUGUUGGGAAGGCUACUGCAGCGGCAGUGGAAAACCUAGGUUGGUCCCUCUGGGAGAGGACACUGGGACUGCAGAUGUUCUCUCAAGCCUUAUCAUUGAACGAGAGGACACCAAUAUAUUACCACUUCUCUUCCCCUGUGGUUCCAUUAAAAGAGAAGUUUUGCCUACUGCUUUGAGGGAAAAUGGAGUGCCUCUGGAGACACUAAUGGUAUAUCAGACAGCUCAACAUCCAGACCUGGAGAAGAACCUGAAGAACCAUUUUACAGAGCAGGGUGUUCCAGCCAGCAUUGCUUUCUUCAGCCCAUCGGGAGUCAAGUUCUGCCUGGAAACUGUGAGAAGACUGUCAGGUGAACAACUUAACCAGAUAAAGUUUGCAGCCAUAGGACCCACCACAGCAGACGCCAUGACAGCAGAGGGGCUAUCGGUCAGCUGCUCAGCAGACAGACCUACAGCUGAGCACCUGGCCACAGGGAUAGCGAAGGCUCUACAGUGACAGACAAGACAGACCACCAACCAACCUGGAAACUUGAUCCGUCCCCGUCACUUUCUCAUUCAGCCUCUGUGAAACGGAUUGUGGUAUUGCGUUCUUUGUGAUCGCUUUAUCUCUUUGAAGUAUUUGCUAUUAUUUGUGGGGCUUUUUAUGUCACGUUUUGAUCCCGGUAACCAUCUGUAUAUUUAUUAUAUUGUAAUAUGUUGUUAUGCACUGUGAGAUAUUGUAAGGCCUAUUUGUUGACACUGAAUGUAUCAAAUCAUGCUCUUAUACACGUGUGACAAGUAUUGUAUUGUGCCACAAUUACAUACUUUGAGAAUUGAGCAUGAGGAAUUUAAUUAUUGAAAAUAAAUUGUGAACAAUUA